UGUGUUUAUGGGCAUUUUGCAAAUCUC
rnacentral:piRNA from 2 species